rnacentral:hammerhead_ribozyme from 15 species
GAGCGGUCGGGGUAGCGGUAGCCCCCUGACGAGAACUUUCGCAGGUUCGAAACCGCUA